rnacentral:rRNA from 1 species
AUACGGAGGGUGCAAGCGUUACUCGGAAUCACUGGGCGUAAAGCGCGCGCAGGCGGCUAUUUAAGUUGGAUGUGAAAGCCUAUGGCUCAACCAUAGAACUGCAUCCAAAACUAUUUAGCUAGAGUGUGGGAGAGGAAGAUGGAAUUAGUUGUGUAGGGGUAAAAUCCGUAGAGAUAACUAGGGAUACCAAAAGCGAAGGCAAUCUUCUGGAACACUACUGACGCUGAGGCGCGAAAGCGUGGGGAGCAAACGGGAUUAGAAACCCCAGUAGUCC